rnacentral:tRNA from 1 species
GGGCGAGUGGCGGAAUUGGUAGACGCGCGGGACUCAAAAUCCCGUUCCUUCACCGGAGUGAGAGUUCGAUUCUCUCCUCGCCCACCA